AUUUUACCAAACGAUGGAAAAGAUCCGUUUUCUUGUGGGAAUUCAGUAGCCGACCAAGCUUUCCUCGAUUCCCUGACAGCUAGCACAGCUCAAACCAACUCAUCUUCUGCCAACAGCAAUAACCAGGUUGGUGGUGGCAAUGACCCCUGGACAGCCUGGAAUGCUCCCAAACCUGGGAACUGGGACAGCUCCGAUGCCUGGGGCUCCAGGACAGACGGAACUAGCGCUCAGAGGAACAGCAGCGCCAACAACUGGGACACGGGCUUUGGCCACCCACAGGCCUACCAAGGACCAGCAACUGGUGAUGAUGACGAAUGGGAUGAAGACUGGGACGACCCCAAGUCCUCCUCACCUUACUUCAAGGAUUCAGAACCAGCUGAAGCAGGGGGCAUCCAGCGGGGAAACAGUCGUGCGGGUGCCUCCUCCAUGAAGCUGCCCCUUAACAA
rnacentral:lncRNA from 1 species